UAUCAGCAAGAAAACAACACAAACCAUAACCCCACACACACCCCAAACACACACACCCCAAACACACACACACACACACACACACACACACACCACAACACACACACACACAACAACACACACACACACACAAUGCAACACACACACACUGCAACACACACACACACACACACACACACACACACACUGCAACACACACACACACACACACUGCAACGAACACACACACGCUGCAACACACACACAAACACACUGCAACACACACACACACACACCGCAACACACACAUACAUACACACUGCAACACACACACUCACACACACACACUGCAACACACACACUGCGACACACACACAAACAUGCACACUGCAACAUACACACACACACACACACACACACUGCAACACACACACACACACACACACACCGCAACGAACACGCACACACUGCAACACACACACACACACUGCAACACACACACACACACACUGCAACACACACAUACACACACACUGCAACACACACACACACUGCAACACACACACUGCAACAGACACACUGCAACACACACACAAACAUACACACUGCAACAUACACACACACACACACACUGCAACACACACACACACACUGCAACACACAGACACUCACACACUACAACACGCACACUCACACACACUGCAACACACACACACACACACACACACACACACACACAGACUGCAACACACACACACACACACACACACACACACACACUACAACACACACACUCACACACACACUCUGCAACACACACACACACACACACACACACACACACAGACACACACACACUGCAACACACACACACACACACACACACACACACACACAUAUAGUUGUUUAAAUUGCUAUUUAAAAUACGUCUAGCUGUUUACAGUUACAGUUUUUUCCAAUCAUUUUAACUCUUGUAUCAAUACCAUGUUCACAUUACCAAAAACACUUAACACAUCGAGCAUACCAGUAGACCAUAUGAACCAAACUGUGGAUACUUGCCCCUAUGCUUA
rnacentral:lncRNA from 1 species